CCUACGGGAGGCAGCAGUGAGGAAUAUUGGUCAAUGGACGAGAGUCUGAACCAGCCAAGUAGCGUGAAGGAUGACUGCCCUAUGGGUUGUAAACUUCUUUUAUAUGGGAAUAAAAUGUUCCACGUGUGGGCUUUUGUAUGUACCAUAUGAAUAAGGAUCGGCUAACUCCGUGCCAGCAGCCGCGGUAAUACGGAGGGUCCGAGCGUUAUCCGGAUUUAUUGGGUUUAACGGGAGCGUAGGUGGAUGGUUAAGUCAGUUGUGAAAGUUUGCGGCUCAACCGUAGAAUUGCAGUUGAAACUGGCAGUCUUGAGUACAGUAGAGGUGGGCGGAAUUCGUGGUGUAGCGGUGAAAUGCUUAGAUAUGACGAAGAACUCCGAUUGCGAAGGCAGCUCACUGGACUGAGACUGACACUGAGGCGCGAAAGUGUGGGUAUCAAACAGGAUUAGAUACCCGAGUAGUC
rnacentral:rRNA from 1 species